AACACAAACACCUAACUCUCGACACUGAGUGUAAGUCUCUGCUGGCUUGGGUCUCUGCUGAAUAAUUGAGGCUAACACAAUUAAUCCAUUUGUAAAUUGUUUUAGGACAUCGAGACAGGACUCAAAACGGCGUAAUAUCGUCUCUGAACUGGACAAGGAUUUUUUUCUCUGGACAUCGCGAGGCAGGACUCAAUACGGCGUUAGUUGUCAGUGACCCUGGUAAUCCUCCCAAAACAAUAUAAUACGGCGUAUGUUGUGGUGGCCCUGUAAACCCCAAGAACAACAGGAAAUUUUGCCAUCCAGGUUGCCUCCAGCAGUACAGAACAACUCAGGUUUCAAUUGGAUUAAAAACCUCACAACGAUGAAACUACCUUUUGUUGGUGGUGUAGUUGCUGGAUGUCUGUCCACGAUGGGAUGGAUCACUUUUUCAAAGCUGAGCUACAGCAGUUCUGAGACCUCUACCAAGAUGAUCCACAUUUUGCCGACUUGUCAAAAGCACCGAUUAAAAUUCGUUCUUCUGAAGGGUUUAGUCAUUAUCCAGAGGAGAACACUAGAGUUGAACAAAUCCUAAGAUUCGGUUGGCCCAUUGGUGGACGCAUUAAGAGGAAACUUAAGAAUCAUGUACUUGAGUAUGACUGCACUAACAAAAUACCUGUGUGGGUAGCAGAACACCUCACUC